UUAAGAUUUAUUGGCCAUGAAUUGAUUUAAUUCCUAAUGUUAAGAUCUGCUUAAUUCAAUUCCGAGAAUCCCGAAGAGGACACUGGUGAUUUCAGAAUUGCAUCUCCAGCUGCUAAGACCUCCAUGACCCUUCUUCAUCUCUUGCUUCAUGGAAAGAUGAUUCAAGUGCUUGUUCAUGGAACCGGGUUCAAUGCAAUCCAGCAACAGGAAGAGUCACUAAGAUCAAUCUUGCUGGGUUGGAAUUAUCUGGAAGAAUUGGAAAAGGCCUUGAGAAAUUGCAGCAUCUAAUGUUGUUUCAGGUGUUUCAGUUCACUUUGUUCUACCUUAAUGGAUGCCAAAUUUUGACUUCAAUACGUGAUCUGUUUAAGUUGUGUUUAUGAGGUAAAUUUUUUAACAUUUUCAUUUGCUGAUAUUGUAUUAUUUCAUUCGAAAAGGAGAAAAAAGAAUUGGCUAUUUUAGGUGAUAAUAUAACAUCUCCUGCCCAGUCAAGUUUUCAGUACAAUAUCUGCACAUGGAAAACUUGCAAGAUUUGGAUAUGCCUAAUCCUUCAGUAAAAAACUUGUGUGAGCCUGUAUAUACCAUGACUUUGUGCAGUUUUUGUUCCUUUUUAAGCUUAACGGUGUUUGUUGCGCCUCCGUGUCCCGUUCUUAUUUCCCUCCAUUACUGAUUUGCCUUUGAGGUGCUAUAAAUGGCAAUUCCAUAACGGAAGCUCAA